rnacentral:rRNA from 1 species
AGAGUUUGAUCCUGGCUCAGAACGAACGCUGGCGGCGCGUUUAACGCAUGCAAGUCGAACGGUAGAGCGGUGCUUGCACCGCUUGAGAGUGCCGAACGGGUGAGUAACACGUAGGUAAUCUACAUCUGGGGACGGGGAUGGCCUGUGGAAACACAGGGUAAUACCGGAUACGCCCAGCGCUCGAUUAAGCAGGACCGGGACGAGAGAAGAGGUUUCGGAGUGUUUAAUUGAGUGCUGGGGAAAAGCGCUUUGGCGCUGUCCUGAGAUGAGCCUGCGUCCGAUUAGUUAGUUGGUGAGGUAACGGCUCACCAAGGCGAUGAUCGGUAGCCGAACUGAGAGGUUGAUCGGCCACAUUGGGACUGAGACACGGCCCAGACUCCUACGGGAGGCAGCAGUGGGGAAUAUUGCGCAAUGGGGGGAACCCUGACGCAGCAACGCCGCGUGAAGGAAGAAGGCCUUCGGGUUGUAAACUUUUUUGAUUGGGGAAGAAAAAAAUGACGGUACCCAAGGAACAAGCCACGGCUAACUACGUGCCAGCAGCCGCGGUAAUACGUAGGUGGCGAGCGUUGUCCGGAAUUACUGGGUGUAAAGGGCGUGUAGGCGGGAUUGUAAGUCAGAUGUGAAAUUCCAGGGCUUAACUCUGGAGGUGCA